UUGGAAGGGACGAUCCUUUCCCCAGAUGAUCGACUAUGAUUAUAAUGUGCGCCAUUGUGAUGCCUUCUCGUUUGAGGAGGAUUCCAAGCCAGAGAUCUGAUCCAU